rnacentral:snRNA from 1 species
AGCUUUGCACAGUAGUAGUAUCAUAGCCACUAAGGUCUAUCUGAAGUGCAAUUAUUGCUCAUUAAAAACCUUGUCAUGAUGACUUGCAAUAUAGUUGGCACUGGUAAUUUCUGACAGUCUCUAAGGAUA